UACGAGGGGGGCAAGCGUUAAUCGGAAUUACUGGGCGUAAAGCGUGCGCAGGCGGUUAUGCAAGACAGAGGUGAAAUCCCCGGGCUCAACCUGGGAACUGCCUUUGUGACUGCAUAGCUAGAGUACGGUAGAGGGGGAUGGAAUUCCGCGUGUAGCAGUGAAAUGCGUAGAUAUGCGGAGGAACACCGAUGGCGAAGGCAAUCCCCUGGACCCGUACUGACGCUCAUGCACGAAAGCGUGGGGAGCAAACAGG
rnacentral:rRNA from 1 species